ensembl:lncRNA
CACGCUUUGUUUAAGUUGGGCGUUUACAUGUGCGUGCGCCUCAUGUGGAUAUUUACAUAUGAAGGGCGCAAGCCGCUCGUGGUCGGGAUCACAACAGAGAUAAUGAGUUUAUACGGGAAAGACUGAACAUCUAUAAGACUUACUUCAUUUAAAAGUAGACAUGCCAAGCUUUCUAUAGAUGUAUUUGUCAUGUCUCUGUGUAAAAUAUUCGCUGAGUUUCAGUUCAUUUUAGUGAAGCCUUUCAGAUGGAUGUUUGCAGAGACAGAGAAGACAGAGAAUGCACCCUGUAUGUUUUCUUUAUUUUACAAAAGCACAAAGUUUUGUUGUUAUUGUGAGUUUACACAAAAGUAGACACGUAAAGGUUUUGAAUGAUAUAUAACACUUAUUUGUGACCAAAAUCAGUAUUUUUAGUGUCUUUCGCCCUUCUGUGUCUUUCUGAUCUUAAAAAAAUGAGCUGGUUGCACCAGCAUGACCGUUGACCCCCAAGUGGCCGAAGAAGGCUGAAAGUGAUGUAGUUACUGGAGAAUUGGACUGCUACAGAGAUUAAGCCCACUGAAGAGUGCGACCAGGAAGCAGAAAGAUGACAAUCGCCACUUGGGCGUGAUCGCUGAUGAACUGGUGAGACUGCAUUUCUAAAUAUAAUAAACAUUGUAGGAUGAACCCGCUGCAAUCCUCCGCCUCACCGGUGAAUGUCACUGGUCAAGCCAUGGGACUGGCAAAGGCAGCAGGCAAAAUAGCUGGUUGCAGGAGUGAUUGUUGUGCGGCUUGUACGAGGUCGGCUGGAAUUGCAAAUGAAGUGGCAGACGUGGAAGGCUGGAGAGACAGACAAAAGGCAUUAACCAGAUCAGUGAAAGUAUCCGUGGAGCUCUGCAUUAGGUCUUGGCUGUGUUCCAGUCCAUUUUUUUAUGUCCUUCACUCGCAAACUUCCCUCUGUCUCGUUUACUCAGAUGUACGUCAUUGAUUACAUUGCAUGAGUGCCCACUUGUGGCGGAACCUUUGUAAUGGGCUGAACUGGAACGUCCUAAGCCCUUGAAUCAGCGGUUCAGUUGGUUUAUUGUUUACAUUUUUCCCCUUAUGAAUUUGUUUGGUGCACCAUUCUAUAUGUAUAUAGGUAUGCCUGGGCUGUUAUAAAAGUUAAAAAAAAUAAUUUACAUAUUAUAGACUUGUUUGGGGUGGGGAUAAAUGAAAUGUGAUCUAUGAUAAAAUCAUAGUCGUUUUGCAUUGUGGUCUAUAGAGCGGCCUGAAGUAUGCAUAAGAAGCAGACUCGCUGCCUCUGUCAAAAUCGAGGGGUCGCGGGUAUGUCCAUGUAAACUUCCCUCGUCCACUUGACGAAGUGGAACGCACUUCAAAAUGGCAGCAGGGGUUCCCUUAGGGAAGUUUGCGAGUGCAUGUCUAAAAGUGAACUGGAACACAGUCCUGGUCUUCUGUCAUACAACAGAAGGAUACUGACAGGUAAGCUGUAUAAAACACAGAGUUUAUUGAACAGAGGCACGGAACUGGACAGGAAUGCAGACUGGUGAGUAGAUGACAAUAUGCAGAAUGUAUGUAGACUUAGCUUGUAAUAAUAGUAAAGUCUCUCUUGCAGGAGAACGGAUCUGAAGCAGGGCAGAUGACGGAUGACAGAAGACACGUUAGGAUUCCAGUGGGCAGCCGAGCUCCUGGAGGCGUGCCGUGGGCAGAGCUAAAGAGUGACGAGCACUUGGGUGCCAAAUGCCAACAGAACAGCCAUUUGAUGCAUUUGUUUCACUUACUGUCUGCAGUUCUGAAUCAUGCCGGGAUCUUUUAUAGCUGGGACCGCUCCAUCCUUCAGUAUCAAAUGCUGUGCAAAUCCAGCAUCGAACUGGGCCUUGUUUAUAAAACAUUCGUCAACAAAAAACUCCAUUGCUGCCUCGGAAAAACAAACUGUAUCAAAGUUAUCUUUCCCUUACAACUAAAAACACACUUCUUUGGAUUGGAGACAUUCUUCCCGAACGAGUCCUGUGCAGCGCUCUGGUUGAUGUGUGCAUGGGUGCGCUCUUCCAUGAGAAAUGCCCUUCCGUGAGAAAUGCCCA